rnacentral:rRNA from 1 species
AGAGUUUGAUCAUGGCUCAGAUUGAACGCUGGCGGCAGGCCUAACACAUGCAAGUCGAGCGGAUGACGGGAGCUUGCUCCUUGAUUCAGCGGCGGACGGGUGAGUAAUGCCUAGGAAUCUGCCUGGUAGUGGGGGACAACGUUUCGAAAGGAACGCUAAUACCGCAUACGUCCUACGGGAGAAAGCAGGGGACCUUCGGGCCUUGCGCUAUCAGAUGAGCCUAGGUCGGAUUAGCUAGUUGGUGAGGUAAUGGCUCACCAAGGCGACGAUCCGUAACUGGUCUGAGAGGAUGAUCAGUCACACUGGAACUGAGACACGGUCCAGACUCCUACGGGAGGCAGCAGUGGGGAAUAUUGGACAAUGGGCGAAAGCCUGAUCCAGCCAUGGCCGCGUGUGUGAAGAAGGUCUUCGGAUUGUAAGCACUUUAAGUUGGGGAGGAAGGGCAGUAAGUUAAUACCUUGCUGUUUUGACGUUACCGACAGAAUAAGCACCGGCUAACUCUGUGCCAGCAGCCGCGGUAAUACAGAGGGUGCAAGCGUCAAUCGGAAUUACUGGGCGUAAAGCGCGCGUAGGUGGUUCGUUAAGUUGGAUGUGAAAGCCCCGGGCUCAACCUGGGAACUGCAUCCAAAACUGGCGAGCUAGAGUACGGUAGAGGGUGGUGGAAUUUCCUGUGUAGCGGUGAAAUGCGU